rnacentral:rRNA from 1 species
CGACCGGCGCACGGGUGAGUAACACGUAUGCAACCUGGCCGUGACAGAUGGAUAACCGGGAGAAAUCCCGCCUAAUACAACAUAAUGCCGGGAGGGGACAUCCCCUGCCGGUCAAAGGGGGCGACCCCGGUCAUGGAUGGGCAUGCGGCGCAUUAGGUAGUUGGUGGGGCAACGGCCCACCAAGCCGACGAUGCGUAGGGGUUCUGAGAGGAAGGUCCCCCACACUGGUACUGAGACACGGACCAGACUCCUACGGAAGGCAGCAG